CCAAAAUAAAGUAUACAAAUGCAGAGGGCGAGUGCGAACAGAGAAUGACCCAGCCAACGGCGUGUCAGGCGACGACGACCGACGACGAUGGUCACCAUGUUGUUGACGGCAAACGCGGGAGACUGCGUGAGAGGGUGAACCGCGAGACUAGAGCCCUAAUCUGGUGUGAGAGAGGAAGAUGAGAGAGGGUGAUCCGCGAGAAGAAGUAGGGGGGCUUAAACACGGGGAGCCCUAAUCUGGUGGGUUCGUCUUCCCCAUACGACUUCGUUUUCAUUGAACUAGUCCGAGUUAACGAGUUGACUCACGAUCUUGAUAACAUUGUUUGCAACCAUUAGGGAGCAAGUUGUUUCUGGCACUGAUGCUGCUCGGAAGCAAAAGAGUAACUUUGAAUGCUUCAAGAUUUCUCUUUUUCUCUAGUUUCCCUUGUCUUCAUCACAUGAUCGGCACUUUCUCUCACACCCUUUCCAUAGUCACUACCACAAACACAGAUGACGCUGAGAGGCACAGCAACGGGACGCAGUUCUUGAUUUUCAUGAGGCACCUAUGCAGGACAGGUCAAGUGAAGAACUUUGAUGAAGCUUUGGACUUGUUUCAAAGAAUGGCUAGAAUGAAGCCUGUGCCUUCUGUGAAGGACUUUACUUUAUUGUUGGGUGUUAUUGUGAGGUUGAGGCAUUACACCACUGCCAUAUCUUUGGUUAAGCACAUGUAUUCUGCUCUACGCAUAGAACCUGAUACCAUUACUCUUAAUAUUGUGAUCAACUGUCUUUGCCGCUUAAAGUUGAUAUCUUUUGGGUUCUCCGUCUUGGGGACCAUGUUCAAACUUGGUUUGGAGCCCACUGUGAUGACUCUUACCAAUCUCAUUAAUGGGCUUUGUGUGCAAGGCAAUGUGGCUCAGGCAGUGGUGUUGGCUGAUCAUAUGGAGAAAAUAGGGUAUCCAUUAGAUGUAUACACUUAUGGGGUGUUGGUUAAUGGGUUGUGCAAGACGGGAGACACUUUGGUGGCGGUUCGAUGGUUAAGGAAGAUGGAGGAAAGGAAUUGGAAACCUAAUGUGGUAGUUUACAGUAGUGUUAUGGAUGGUUUGUGCAAGGAUGGAUUGGUAUAUGAGGCAUUAAAUUUGUUCUGUGAAAUGGGUGGGAAAGGUGUUUUGCCUAAUCUUGUCACUUAUACUUGUUUGAUUCAAGGUCUCUGUAAUUUUGGAAGAUGGAAAGAAGUUGGUUCUCUUCUGGAUGACAUGAUGAAAAUGGGAAUGAUGCCGGAUGUCCAAACACUCAAUAUUUUAGUGGAUUCUUUCUGCAAAGAAGGAAAAGUAAUGCAGGCUAAAAGUGUGAUUGGGUUUAUGAUUAUAAUGGGUGAGGAACCGGAUGUCUUUACAUAUAAUUCACUGAUUCACGUUUAUUGUUUGCAAAACCAAAUGAAUGAGGCCAUGCGAGUAUUUAAUGUUAUGGUUAACGGGGGCUGUUUACCGGACAUUGUAGUCUUCACUUCACUUAUCCAUGGAUGGUGCAAGAACAAAAACAUUAACAAGGCUAUGUAUCUGUUGGAGGAAAUGGGUAAGAUGGGAUAUGUACCUGAUGUUGUCACUUGGACCACUCUUAUAGGUGGGUUUUGUCAAGCAGGUCAACCAUUAGCUGCGAAAGAUCUGUUUUUUAAUAUGCAUAAACAUGGUCAAGUUCCUAAUAUCCAAACUUGUGCUGUUAUGUUGGAUGGCCUGUGUAAAGGAAAUCUCCUUUCUGAGGCAGUGUCAUUGGUUGAGGCAAUGGAGAAGAGUAAUUUGGAUCUUAAUAUUGUCAUUUAUACCAUUUUGCUUGACGGAAUAUGCAGUGCCGGGAAAUUGAAUGCUGCAUGGGAACUCUUUUCUAGUUUGCCCGCUAAAGGCUUGCAAAUUAAUGUUUAUACGUAUACCAUUAUGAUUAAGGGUCUCUGUAAACAAGGACUGUUAGAUAAAGCUGAAGACUUGCUGAUGAAUAUGGAAGAUAAUGACUGCCUGCCAAAUAACUGCACUUACAAUGUCUUUGUUCAAGGCUUGCUGACAAAAAAGGAGAUUGCAAGGUCAAUAAAAUACCUUGCAAUUAUGAGAGACAAGGGUUUUUCGGUGGAUGCUGCCACCACAAAAAUGAUUAUCAACUACUUAUCUACUAAUAAAGGAGACACUGAAAUUCAAGAAUUUUUGUUUCCAAAAGGGUAGCACACUUGAAGAGUUUCACUACACCUUUAUUUAAAUCUAACUCAAAUUAGGGAAGGCCCAAGGUGAAGUGUGUUUGUGCACUGUCCACAUUUCAAGCUCAAGAAAUUGUUGUUAAGGGGAUUUUAGAUAAAAUUUUCUUUAGCUCUACUAAACAACUUGAGCUUUUAAAGGGAAUUAAUCCUUUGACAUUUCUAUUGGAGCUUGUUCCUUCAAGACUCCUAUUUUGCUGAACUGACUAUCACUACACAUGUCAUAAGUUCGGUAAAGAAGCUUCCUGUUUCACUGACCAUCAUGCAUGAUUGUUCAAAAUGUAAAGAUAAUAUUGUUGAGGAGCUUGAAUCCACACUUUCUCUUAUAAAAGUCUCUAGGGGGACCACCAAUCUGUCUAAUUGAAUUCUUAAUCCAUUCCAAGUUCUUUCUGUUUAGAAAGAUGAUUGAGAGGACUGUGAAUUACUUUAUGUUGCUGAAAGACCAGAGGAACUCAGAAUAACAACAUUGUUGUGCCACCUAUAGCUAUUCGACCAUCAAUUGUAAUGGAUGAACUUUUGAGACUGAAAAUGUCACAACUGAGGCUAAAGAACAUAAUCCAAGCAAAUGCUGUUCCGCGCCAGGAAUUACUGUAAUCAAUUGUUUCAUCCAAAUAUCUGGUAUGGUAGGUAGGGCAUCUUGAGUGUUAAGAUUUCCUUUCUAAAGCUUCAGUUCAUGUUAAAUAUGUUUUUUGUUCUUUAAGUUGCAUAUAUAGAUUAUAUGCUCAGAAAAGGUUUUUAAGCUUUGUCCUUUGCUUUUUAAAUAUUAUUAUGCAAAUGUGUAUUUUAGUUGUAGUUGUCCUUGUUCUGGUACUAUCUAUAAAGUUUCUAUAUGCCCUGUGUGUUGGGGAUGAAUUGCUUUUUGGAUAGAGGCACUUUUUGCCUUGAUAAAAAUGAUGCUUCCAAUGGAAUUUGAAUCCUUGCGCCUCAGAUAAAUUAAUCUGAUGUAGAGCUCAGUUUAGUAACUGAACUGCAUGUCGUUGUUGAUUCAUUAUCUUUUCUAUUUUUAUAAAAUUUGUUUUAACAAGAUAAUUUCAAGGCUUGCUCUUGUGUAAAGUUAUGUUCGAAUAAUUUAUCAUUCACAUUAUUACUUUCUAAGGCAAUUCACUUUGGAUUUCCUUAACUUUUACUGCAAAAUCGAAAUACUAACAGACAAAUUUUCUUUUCUUUUUUCUCUCCAAAAUUUUUAUGUCCUACUAAAAGGAAAAUAUUAUAUGAAUACACUCCCAUUUAAAUGUGAGUUCCUGUAAGGCUUUCCCAUAAAACAAAUGUGUUUGAUGCCCAUAAACUGCUCGUAUGAAUUGCUACCUCAAAUGUUUGAAAUCUCACACAAAUUACUCAAUUUCUCCCACUGGGUCGACCCUAGUGGUGUUGAAUUUUCACUUAGUAAUGGUUGAUAUAGUUGAUGGUGAACAGGAAGUAACACUUGUUACAAUCUUCUUGUCUUGAUCCCUUUGGCAGCAUGCCAAAGAUGGGUUGGUAAAGUGGAUUGUUUCACAUUGAACAGAGUCUUCUGAGAAUACCUCGAUCUGCUUCAUUUGUGUUUCCUUGCUUUGCUUCAUCUGUGUUUCCUUAAUUUUUCCCCACAGCAACAGGUACAAUCCCCCCACAACCAGCACUGAUCCUGUAACACUGCACAGCAUUGACACUUGAAAUGAAAAAGUUGAAGGUUCACAUACAAUUGCAUAGCUAAUUUUGUUGUUUAAUUCACCUUCCAAGGUUGGGACAUUUAUCUGUUACCAAAGGCUCGAUAAGGGUCACAAUGACCAGCAUUAGAGGACUAAAAGCAGACGCAAAUAGCGGUCCCUUCCUUCGCACACACCACGCUAAAAGGGUGUAACACACUCCAGAGGCCAAAAUUCCCUGCAAAACAAAAAAUAUAGCUACCAGUUAUAGUUUGUAAUUUACUUCAUUUUAACCAUGCAAUAUUUUGGUUGUAUGUGUGUGCUGGUCAUGGCAAAGGAGAGUGUUUAGAAAGCACCAAAAACACAUAUUUAAUCAGUUACCGCAGAAACUGCUGUUACAAGCCUAAAGUUCCAACCAAGUUUCCACUGGCUCCAAUCUUUCUCCGUAGAGAGCGCAAAUAAAACGGAUUGGAUUGAGGCGGUUGAAGAUGUUAAAGCCGCAAUUGAAUAGUGCCACGGAAACUUCUCGCUCAUCUUUGUCUGCGGUUAUCUUACAAAACUCAAUUUCUGACCAAGUUUAGGCAAACAAGUUGUCUGAAUUUGAAGAAAUUCUAGGAUGUGUUCAAAAUUUAAAGGUUUUGGUAAUGUUAUUAAGAAACACUCUCUUGGUCUGUGCAGACUCAUUUGAUUAUUGAUCCUAAAAGUAACUGUUCCAAAAUCUUUAGAUCUGUAUUAGUAUCAUAAUACUUUGUACUUUGUAACACUUUUUGUAAAAUCUUCAGAAAGUUAUUGAAGGCAAUUUUGAGUUGAACCUGGAUUAUCAACCACACUGAGUAAGUCAAAGCGGCUCCAAAGGCUAGUAUGCAGCCCCACAAUGGAGAACCUGUGGGGGCACCAUGUGGUGAUGGUGCAUGAUGCAACAAGCCAAUAUGUGAUGACCAGAGGCAUAGCUUUCUUCCUUUGUAGAAAGUGAGGAUCAUGGCACCACCAAUUCCUGUUAAAGUUCCCACCAACUUGGCCAUUCCACCUGCUGUUCUAAGAUUUGACUUCUCAAGUCUGCAUAAUUCAAAUGUCAAACUUUUCUAAUCGUUAAAAUUUGUUCAAAAUUGAAAAUCACCAUUGAAAAACAUUAAAGAACUUGAAUUCGGUUACAUGGAGCGUACCCGAGAGAAACAGACAUAAGGUAGGUGACACCAGGGAUGAGAUUCAACAUGGCUGUAACAUAUACUGCAGAUGUCAACGCCAACGAUUUAACGUACAGACCUUGUAGGGAAACUUAUAAGAGAAACACCUUUCAACGAUGAGAGCAAGGGGAACAAUGAAGGCAGUAGCAAAGAUGAAUCGGUAGGCAACAAGAAUACUUAAGCUCAUUCCAUCAUCUGCUACUAUCUUUAACAUGAUAUUCACCACUGCAUAUAGAGUCUGGAGCAGUAUCAUUAACAGUACAGGCUUCACAUUACCUAUGGCUUCAACUUUGUAUAAAUCAUCCAUCCUGCAGCACCUAUGACCAAAAUGCAAAUCCUAGCUUCCCAAAGUAUAGAAUACUUGGUGAAGCAAUGCAGCAUGAAUAAGAACAAGAAGCAUCAGCUUCUGAUCCCACUUUUGUUUUGACAAUACUAAACUUUGGCUAGUGUUAUUGGAAUUAAAUAAUGGGUAACAGCUCUGUGAACUUCUUUUGUGUGCAGAAUAUAUGUAUAUAAGAAAAAUGCCCCUUUGCCAUAUCAUGCAGACAUGCAGUUUAGACUUGAUAAGGAGACAAAAUGAGUUCAACUUGUGC